UACGUAGGGUGCAAGCGUUGUCCGGAAUUAUUGGGCGUAAAGAGCUCGUAGGCGGUUUGUCGCGUCGAAUGUGAAAACCCGGGGCUCAACCCCGGGCCUGCAUUCGAUACGGGCAGACUAGAGUUCGGUAGGGGAGUCUGGAAUUCCUGGUGUAGCGGUGAAAUGCGCAGAGAUCCGGAGGAACACCAGUGGCGAAGGCGACACGCUGGGCCGUACCUGACACUAAAACGCGACAGCAUGGGGAGCGAACGGG
rnacentral:rRNA from 1 species